ensembl:lncRNA
GAAGCAUUAGCUCAGUGCUUGGUAUUUGUUUUCAGCUACCCUCGUUCGAUACAAUAUCUGGCCUCUGCUGAAGAAUUGUUGUGUCUGACAUUUGGAACUUCUGGCCUGGAGUGACAGAUGAGUGAGACACAAUCUUCAACACCUCAACAUUAAUGGGCUGAGUCAAAAGACUGCAGUCUAUUUCUGUUUCCUUUUUUCUGCCUCGGCUCGUCUCCCUUUCAAAGCAGGUUCCUGUUACUGUGUGUUAGCUGAUUAUAAGAAAGACCCAGCAGUCUGCUCUGGAAUGAGAGAGGGCAGAUCUUCAAGACGCUUGCUGUGUGAAGAAAUCAAUCAGCCGCAGUAUUCAGGUUUGAUUUUUAACCAUUCUUCUAAAUAUAUUGUCUUUAAGUCAGGUGAUUGUCUUGGCCAUUCUAACGCCUUGAUUUUUUUUUUCUCUGAAACCAAUUGAGAGUUUCCUUUGCUGUAUGCUUUGGAUCGUUGUCCUGCUGGAAGGUCCACCCACGUCUCAUCUUCAUCAUCCUGGUGGAUGGCUGCAGAUUCUUCUCAAGAAUCUUUAGCUGAACAGGAACGCGAUGACGAUGAAGAAGACAACACUCCCUGGCCUCCCUGCGCUCUCCACUGAUGCCAACACACUGCUCCCGUCACUCUGGGUACAGCCUGGAUGCUGCUGCAACCCAUGGCAGGAAGGCCUCGCCCUGCUCCCACACACUCCUCUCAAGCACCUCCACACACAGACUGUUAGAGUAAAUAAAAGAACACUUUUUCCCCACGUUUG